AUGGCCAUGUACUGGAAAGAGUAUCAGACGCAAAAUAUCUUGGAGUUACAAUCAGCUCAGAUUUAAAUUGGAGUACCCAUGUACAUAACAUCUGCCAAAAAGCAAAUAAAACUAUUGGGUUCUUAAAAAGAAAUCUUAACAUCAGUAACAAACAACUAAAAGAAAAUGCAUACAAGUCAUUAGUCAGACCAACACUAGAAUAUGCAAGCGCAGUCUGGGACCCCCAUCAACAAAACAACAAGAAAAAAAUUGAGAUGGUACAACGCAGAGGGGCUAGGUAUGUUACCAACAAAUACCGUAACACAUCAUCAGUAGACGCCAUGAUAAAACAACUCGAGUGGCAACAAUUAGAAGAGAGAAGAACAACAACAAGGAUGUGCAUGAUGUACAAAAUUACUAACUGCCUAGUUAAUAUAGAUGCAACAUCUAGGCUCAUUCCAACAAGCCGAGCAUCAAGAACAACUAGGACUGGAUGUUUCCAGGUUCCUCUUUGCAGAACGGAUAUAAGGAAAAUGUCAUUCUAUCCAAAAUCUAUACGGGAAUGGAAUGCCUUACCACUUUCAACUACCACCGCUCCGAGUCUUGAAUGCUUCAAGGCUCGGCUAACAAAAUAGACCUAAACACUUGUUUUUAAUGAGCACCUGUAUAUAGGAUUUUAACUUUCACAAAAUGUAAAUAUAUUAAAUUUUCUUUGGACUUUCAUGCGCAAC
rnacentral:lncRNA from 1 species